rnacentral:rRNA from 1 species
UACAGAGGUCCCAAGCGUUGUUCGGAUUCACUGGGCGUAAAGGGUGCGUAGGCGGCCGGGUAAGUCUGCUGUGAAAUCCCGCAGCUCAACUGCGGAACUGCAUUGGAUACUAUCCGGCUAGAGGAAUGGAGGGGAGACUGGAAUUCUCGGUGUAGCAGUGAAAUGCGUAGAUAUCGAGAGGAACACCAGUGGCGAAGGCGAGUCUCUGGACAUUUCCUGACGCUGAGGCACGAAGGCCAGGGGAGCAAACGGG